ACGAACGCUGGCGGCGUGCUUAACACAUGCAAGUCGAACGGAAAGGCCUGCUUUCCCUUGUGGAUUGCGGGUACUCGAGUGGCGAACGGGUGAGUAACACGUGAGUGAUCUGCCCCCAACUUGGGUAUAAGCCUGGGAAACUGGGUCUAAUUCCCGAUAGGACUGCAGGGUGGUGCCUGUGGUGGAAAACGAUUUUCUAGUGGUUGGGGAUGAGCUCGCGGCCUAUCAGCUUGUUGGUGGGGUAAUGGCCUACCAAGGCGGCGACGGGUAGCCGGCCUGAGAGGGUGGACGGCCACAUUGGGACUGAGAUACGGCCCAGACUCCUACGGGAGGCAGCAGUGGGGAAUAUUGCACAAUGGGCGGAAGCCUGAUGCAGCGACGCCGCGUGGGGGAUGACGGCCUUCGGGUUGUAAACUCCUUUCGACCGCGAGGAAGCCACCUGGUUGGAAGGGUGGUGACGGUAGUGGUAGAGGAAGCACCGGCUAACUACGUG
rnacentral:rRNA from 1 species